GAGGGGCCACGAUCAAAGAAGACUUCUCAGAGUGAAUUGCAAGGGCUUGAGCACCACGGUGUGGGGGUGCGGGGGGUGUCAAGGUGUGGACUUUGUUUGCUUGAUUUUCAACACGUUAAGGUUAGAAUUGGGAUGACUUCUCUCUGGCCCUCACUUGGAUUGUGCUCUCUGGUUUUAGGCUUGGACCACAGAGCUCAGGGUGCAAGAAGCCCCAAGGGAAGGAUUUUGUGGGCAUACUGUUUUCACUUGAAAGAGACACUCACAAACCAUGCUAUUCACACUCGGGAAUUUGGCAGGCAAAGAAGAAGAAGAAGAAGAAGAAGAAGAAGAAGAAGAAGAAGAAGAAGAAGAAGAAGAGGAAGAGGAAGAGGAAGAGGAAGAGGAAGAGGAAGAGGAAGAGGAAGAGGAAGAGGAAGAGGAAGAGGAAGAAAGAAGAAGAAGAAGAAAGUGAGCCUGUUACUUCAGGGAUGGAGACUGGCUAUGUCUGCUGCCAAGGGUGACUGCUGAGCUUUCAGGCAAACCCCAGAAUUUUGGAAGUUAUGCCCAUCACCACAAACUUCACAAUUAAAAAAAAAAACUUUGAUUAUAAAAUCAGAAAUGUUAUAAAUAAGUGUGCACUUUGACAUUUCAUAGUGAAAUCUGUCAGCAUCAUAAGGGCACAUAGAUCAGCCAAGGAAACUAAUGUUUUCAAAUGAGCAAGAUGGACUAACAGGUUUAUGUGACAACACAGAGGGACAUUUAUGUGAUUUCAGAAUCCACACAAAAUAAUCUUUAAAACUAUUAUUUGUUGAAUUUGGAUUUACAUUCUUUGAUGAAGAAUAUCCAAAAUUAUCUGAGGCUAUUAGAUAUCUUGUUCCCUUUACCACUGCCUAUCUGUGUGAUGCCUGCAUUUCUUCAUGCAGUCCGGUGAAGACCACAGCUGCAACAGGCUGGACGCAGAGGCAGCAAGGAGAAGCCCCCGAGAAGGAGAUGACACUUGUUAGGGCAGGCAUCCUUAGGGAGACUUGGAAAAAUGCAGAACAAAGCCCCUUUUCUCACUUUAUUUUUAGAUAUGGAAAAUAGUUCUUUUUCGUUUACAAAUGUGCAAUUUCUUAUUGUUAUUUUGUAAUGAAUUUUAAAACAGUUUUGUUUCUCAGUGUCACGUUUGAGUCAAUAGACCCAAUCCAUAUAAACAAAAGCUAUUUUGAGUCUUUAAUAAUUUUGACAGUGUAGACAGUUGUAAAAGGAUCUCAAGAGAUAAACUUUGAGACUCUUUGCCCUAGAGAUUUUUGUCUCUAAAAAUGUCCCAUGUCCCACCAAGAGAAAGGAAGAAACAAACCAAUUUCCUCAUGGGGGCAAUGUUGGUAAUUCCUCUUCAAAAGCAUAUUAGUGAAUUAUGUCAAUAAGAGAAUGGGUAAACACCUUAAGUCAUAUAAUAAAUAGCUUCUGAAGUUAAAA
rnacentral:lncRNA from 1 species